GAUGAACGCUGGCGGCGUGCCUAAUACAUGCAAGUCGAGCGAACGGACGAGAAGCUUGCUUCUCUGAUGUUAGCGGCGGACGGGUGAGUAACACGUGGAUAACCUACCUAUAAGACUGGGAUAACUUCGGGAAACCGUAGCUAAUACCGGAUAAUAUUUUGAACCGCAUGGUUCAAAAGUGAAAGACGGUCUUGCUGUCACUUAUAGAUGGAUCCGCGCUGCAUUAGCUAGUUGGUAAGGUAACGGCUUACCAAGGCAAUGAUGCAUAGCCGACCUGAGAGGGUGAUCGGCCACACUGGAACUGAGACACGGUCCAGACCCCUACGGGAGGCAGCAGUAGGGAAUCUUCCGCAAUGGGCGAAAGCCUGACGGAGCAACGCCGCGUGAGUGAUGAAGGUCUUCGGAUCGUAAAACUCUGUUAUUAGGGAAGAACAUAUGUGUAAGUAACUGUGCACAUCUUGACGGUACCUAAUCAGAAAGCCACGGCUAACUACGUG
rnacentral:rRNA from 1 species